rnacentral:rRNA from 1 species
AGUGAACGCUGGCGGUAGGCCUAACACAUGCAAGUCGAACGGCAGCGCAGUAAGAGCUUGCUCUUACGGGUGGCGAGUGGCGGACGGGUGAGGAAUACAUCGGAAUCUACUUUUUCGUGGGGGAUAACGUAGGGAAACUUACGCUAAUACCGCAUACGACCUACGGGUGAAAGCAGGGGAUCUUCGGACCUUGCGCGAUUGAAUGAGCCGAUGUCGGAUUAGCUAGUUGGCGGGGUAAAGGCCCACCAAGGCGACGAUCCGUAGCUGGUCUGAGAGGAUGAUCAGCCACACUGGAACUGAGACACGGUCCAGACUCCUACGGGAGGCAGCAGUGGGGAAUAUUGGACAAAGGGCGCAAGCCUGAUCCAGCCAUACCGCGUGGGUGAAGAAGGCCUUCGGGUUGUAAAGCCCUUUUGUUGGGAAAGAAAAGCAGCAGGUUAAUACCCCGCUGUUCUGACGGUACCCAAAGAAUAAGCACCGGCUAACUUCGUG